CUGCUACUUCUGCGAUUUCUGUGACUUCUGCGAUUUCUGUGACUCCUGCGAUUUCUGCGACUUACCACCGCAUGAAAAAGCUACAUCUGUCCACACAGAAAAUUGCAUCUCAACAAACCUGUCAUUGGUACCCGAACUACAUUUCAGUCACUCAGUAAAGUGAUAACUCAAAAUAUCAUUGUCAGCAGAUCUGGAGAAAUUGCCACUGCGUCUUUAGACCGUUUUCGUCAGACGAGAGCCACAUCAAGGCUGUUGGCUGUUGGAAGAGACUCGUGAAGAUUCAAGAGAGCUCAUAGAGAAUUUGCAGUUUAAAAGUGACAUUAUUGCGAAAUAAGUGUGCAGAUGAGUGAUUAAACUGUGUUUUAUUGAAGUUGUUGUAUGAUUUUAAAGGAAUAAUAAAUGUUAAAUACA